rnacentral:rRNA from 1 species
AAUCAACGCUGGCGGCGUGCCUCAGACAUGCAAGUCGAACGAUUAAAGCUCUCUUCGGAGAGUGCAUAGAGUGGCGCACGGGUGAGUAACACGUAAGUAAUCUACCUUCGAGUGGGGAAUAACAGUCGGAAACGACUGCUAAUACCGCAUAAUGCAGCGGCAUCGCAAGAUGACAGUUGUUAAAGGAGCAAUUCGCUUGAAGAGGAGCUUGCGGCAGAUUAGCUUGUUGGUAAGGUAACGGCUUACCAAGGCUACGAUCUGUAACCGGUCUAAGAGGACGGUCGGUCACACUGACACUGAAUAACGGGUCAGACUCCUACGGAGGCAGCAGUCGGAAUAUUGGACAAUGGGCGCAAGCCUGAUCCAGCCAUGCCGCGUGAGUGACGAAGGUCUUCGGAUUGUAAAGCUCUUUUGCCAGGACGAUAAUGACGGUACCUGGAGAAUAAG